rfam:Schistosoma mansoni, Puerto Rico, WGS project CABG01000000 data, contig: 0135
ACCCAGUUGAAGAGUCCCAAAUAGGACGAAACGCGUGUCCUGGAU